UAAUUCCUCUAAAGAGCCGUUCGAGACUAGGACGUUGAUAGGCAUGGUGUGUAAGCGUUGUGAGGCGUUGAGCUAACAUGUACUAAUGACUCGAGAGGCUUAACCAU
rnacentral:rRNA from 1 species